rnacentral:rRNA from 1 species
UGGGGAAUUUUGGACAAUGGGGGAAACCCUGAUCCAGCCAUCCCGCGUGUGCGAUGAAGGCCUUCGGGUUGUAAAGCACUUUUGGCAGGAAAGAAACGUCGCGGGUUAAUACCCCGCGGAACUGACGGUACCUGCAGAAUAAGCACCGGCUAACUACGUGCCAGCAGCCGCGGUAAUACGUAGGGUGCAAGCGUUANNCAUCGGAAUUACUGGGCGUAAAGCGUGCGCAGGCGGUUCGGAAAGAAAGAUGUGAAGCACCGAUUAACUUUGGAACUGCAUUUUUAACUACCGGGCUAGAGUGUGUCAGAGGGAGGUGGAAUUCCGCGUGUAGCAGUGAAAUGCGUAGAUAUGCGGAGGAACACCGAUGGCGAAGGCAGCCUCCUGGGAUAACACUGACGCUCAUGCACGAAAGCGUGGGGAGCAAAACAGGAUUAGAUACCCUGGUAGUCCACGCCCUAAACGAUGUCAACUAGCUGUUGGGGUCUUCGGACCUUGGUAGCGCAGCUAACGCGUGAAGUUGACCGCCUGGGGAGUACGGUCGCAAGAUUAAAA